AGAGUUUGAUCAUGGCUCAGAAUCAACGCUGGCGGCGUGCCUCAGACAUGCAAGUCGAACGAUUAAGACUUCCUUCGGGAAGUGCAUAAAGUGGCGCACGGGUGAGUAACACGUAAGUAAUCUACCCUCGAGUGGGGAAUAACGUUCGGAAACGGACGCUAAUACCGCAUAACGCAGCGGCACCGCAAGGUGACAGUUGUUAAAGGAGCAAUCCGCUUGAGGAGGAGCUUGCGGCAGAUUAGCUAGUUGGUAGGGUAAUGGCUUACCAAGGCUACGAUCUGUAUCCGGUCUAAGAGGACGGUCGGACACACUGACACUGAAUAACGGGUCAGACUCCUACGGGAGGCAGCAGUCGGGAAUUUUGGGCAAUGGGCGAAAGCCUGACCCAGCAACGCCGCGUGAAGGAUGAAGUAUUUCGGUAUGUAAACUUCGAAAGAAUAGGAAGAAUAAAUGACGGUACUAUUUAUAAGCUCCGGCUAACUACGUG
rnacentral:rRNA from 1 species